ensembl:lncRNA
UUCAUGUCUUAGCAAAUUUAAACAUACUGUUAAAUAGUAUAAUUUAAACAUACUGUUAAACUGGAAAAUAGUACCGCUCAACUGCUCUCCUCCAGCGUGGAGUAGGUUGCUGCAGGAAGAGAGGAGGGCAGAGAAAUAGUUUUCUCCAGCUCUGAUUAUUUGCCAACGUUUUACUGGUGCAGAUUAGACUUGAGUAAUUUUACAUCAAGUGCCUAUAAGAAAUUUAAUUUCAGUAUUUAAUAAAAUCUGUAGUACCGAGUUACAUCUGUAAUGCUCUACUGGCACAACAGUUAUGCUAAGGCCUCAAACAAAUCAUGUUGUGUUUCAUGGCAGCUUAUGUCUACUGAAAUACCCACUAAUUAAUAGACUAAUUUGGUGCACUUAGGCUGUAAGAGCAAUCUCCAAAUAGAUUAAUUAAGGCACAAAUGCAGUGGAGCAUUGGAGGUGGCCAAGCUGGUACAGAGCCACCAGUACUACAUAACAAAAUUGAAACCCAAGUAGCUUCUAAGCCUUUUAUUCCCUCUUAUGUUGUGAAUAUGGGAGGCCAGUCAACUCCAUACACAUAUCAGAAGAAGGAAGAGUCCCUGUGAUUUGACAUCUGCUGAGGACAGUAUUUGGUCAGGAUCUCAUACACUGGACAGUUAAGUUUCCUGAACUUUGUAGUGUUCCUCUCUCUUCCCCUGUUAAUGAAACAGCAAAGCAGAAACUGGAAAGCUGCCUUACCACAUGCUAGAGCCCUGGCAUACAUCUCACACAUGGCAUGUGGGAAAUAAUUUGCACCUCACUGAGAACAGGCCAGACACCACAUGAUCACCAUGCUCACCACAGGGAGAGGGCACGUGUGGAAGAAAUAGCAAUUAAGCAGCUGAUCAGAGCAAGUGCCUGCCCUUGCUCAGCUCUCCUAAACCAGCUUGCAAAUUCACAUCCCUCAGGAGGGAAGAAGGAAGCAAAGCACACUCCCAAUGGUUUUCAGCUUGUGCUCUCUGAUGCCAGGAGAAAAAGCUGGUUAGAAAUAGUAUUUUAACACACAAGAAAGUACGAUAUGUCCUGUACUAGCAGGGUCCCUUUGGCAUGCCUAAUUCUAGGCUGUUUAGUAAAUGGCUUGAUGAAGGAAGGAGCUCAGAAGACCACAAAGUCAAGUGGUUAGCAAAGGACUGGUGAUUCAGCAAGCACUGUUGAAGUGACAUCCAGUCAUCUUUGCAGAAAAAUAGGAUGUUGUAGAUUGGAGCAGAAGAAGGGGACAGUGGAGAAAAGGCCUUUCUGCUGCAGGAAAUGAUGCUGGUUUUGUAACCCUCUGUAGAUACUUCCCCUUCUGAUACUAAGGCAAUUGUUUGAUAUUUUUCUUGCCCACGUGAGAUUACUUGUUCCAGAUUACUUUUGUGAAAGGUAUUUAAGGGCACCAGUGUUUCAUCAAUUCAGUCAAAAGCUCCUCAUGGGGCCAGCCUCACAGAAAGGAUAAGAGGAAAACCAGUAAUCCAUUACUCCUGAGGCAAAUUCAUUGGCCUCUGAAAGUGAGGGAACAGGGCUGUUACACUUGUUUGUCUUGGAGUUCAACAGCUCGUGUUGUUAAGCUGGAAGAAAUGGAGGCCUGUUUCCAGAGCAACCAACCUGAUGGCACAAACUGCCAAAUUUCUGUAGGGAAUGGCUACAGUCUCAGAACAUUACUCCAAAUCCUAGGUUCAAAAAUGAGAGAGCACUGCAAAGUACACAUGGUCUUUAGUACACCUGGUUUAAUUAGAGGUAUGAUGUCCUUUUAUUACUCAUGUAAUUAUAAGAGUCUAAUUGGUACUGCGGAUACUCCUGUACGAGCAGAGUUUAUUUUCCUUUCCUCAUAGGAAUACCUUCCCCAGUAUAAGCAAUUUUAGCACUGACAGGAAUAGAUUAGAUUUCUGCACCUGUAUUGGCAAUGACAGUGCUGUGAGGGGCAAGGUGUAAGGAGGCUGCAGCUGCCGAUCCAUUUUCCAUCUAUUUUGUGCUUGUUUACUGCAGUGUUGUUUCUAAGCCAGCUCAAGUGAAGUCAUUUCCAUCCUCACAGCUCUCAGAUGACCUCGCAGCAUGAUUUUCUUGGCAAGUUUAAAAAUCUGUGAGAAUUAAGUUUGCUGAAGCAUUUCAUAGUUUUUUUUUUUUUCUUUAACUUGUUUUCCCAGGUUCUUAAGAUCUUCUUAAUUCCAGCUGGGAACGAAGCUUAUCCUUGCAUGCAUUCCCAAUCAUGUUUAUGAGUAACGUGCCCCUUCUUAAAAGUUUUCAAAAGUCUAUUUUCUAGCAGAUCAAUCAUAGCUGUGUACACAUACAUGCAACAUAACCUAGCUUUUAGCUAACAGAGAAGAAACCAGGGAGUUUAGCUUUUCCCUCACUUGAAGUAUGUGCUUCCCAAAUGGAAAAAAAGCUAACUGGAAAAUGUCAAUGUGUUCCAAUAUUCAGUCCCAGCUAAAUCAUGAAGAAAAAAAGCACCGUCUUCAAGCCUUUGAGGCAGAAGAUGCCUGAUACCAACUUUCCUUCUUCCCAAUUUCCCACAUGAGGGCAAGAAAAACGACACCGAUUUGUCAGCCAAAAUAGAGACUAAGAAAGGAAUCAAGACCCGAAAUUGGAGUAUAAAAAGCUUUAACUUGAUGAAAUUUCAUCUUGUUGUCUUGCUUAAAAUAUGAUGAAGAGAACCAAAUAAACAUUGAGAAAUGUU